UCAUAAUUAUUGUUUAGCAACCGACGAGUCACCCAAAUCUUAAAAAUCCACCACCAGCCUCCAUCCAUUAUGCCGACCGUCCUCGAUUGAGAGUGCCCAGGUGAACGCAGCGAUGCUGCCAUGCGAGAUUACUGAGCCACCCCCGGCGAGCGAGGCAGUAGCCCCGUCGCGGUGCUCCGCUCCCCAUCCGCUCUGACCCUGGGGAGUCGACCACACAAUCUCGGUGACGUCGCCCAGACCCCAUCGACAGUACCCCGGCCCCCGUCGACGCUGCCACAUGUGGCCUCGGCGAGCCACUCCGCGAGAAGCGCCCGGGCGACCCGGCUGUGAACUGUGCGUCCGCUCUUCCGCCGAGCUGUUCAGGUGGAUGCCUCUCCCGUGGGUGCUCUGCCCGCCGGUAGAGGUCUCUUCAGACCAAAUCUGCUGACAACGCAUUGCGUUCAGGGGUUUUAUGCGUUUCCAAUCCUUGCUAUCCAGCCUUUGUGGAGGAGUACCUAGGAAAGGAGGUGGAUCGAUUGCUGUAACUGCCCCUACGCAUCCAUCCUUUUGAGCAUGCAGAAGAUAUAGAAAGCGGUUUUCAGAUGUUGAAACAAAGUACAAGCGAAUGUAUGAGAUGACAUAAAUCAUUUUGUUGCUUUCUCGAGCAAGUUGCUGCUCAUCUCUGACUCUCUGUUCACUAAGCUUUCCUGGGUCAUUGAUCUACAUGUCCUUCUGCUCAAGUAUCUAUUUUAUGAAUCAAGACAUGAUGCUAUUUUCGGUAAAUACUUUUUCAUCACAUAUAAAUAGAUAUGGCUCCUUUGAACAUCAGUUAGUAUCAUGUUACCCUACCAUAUUGUUGGGAUAAACUUCCUUUGGUACACCAAUAAAGGAUCAUGAAGACGAUGAGCACGAUAUAUGGGAAGUUAAGCGACACAGCUCAAAUCAGCAGAAAUUGCGUAAAUUUUUUAUACUAUCUGAUUGCCCGACUCCAUUUUAUUUGUGCCCAUUUUUCAUUAUCUGAAAUACAAAUUCAGAUAUGCCUAUUCUCCAGGUCUUAAUCUAGAGGACCAAAGAUUCAAUAUGUUAAGGACUAUGAUCACUAGAAAUUUGUUUCUAGAGGACUAAAGAAGGUUCAAUAUAAAUCAUUUACGAUGGGCUUCAUGUUUGAGAUCCUAAACCAUAUAAAUUGUCAUUAUUAUUUUCAUUUGCUUAAUGCAACUUAUAAUUUUUCAAGUUUAAUAUAUUUGUGGCAAACAACUUCCAGUUGCAACUUGAUAAUUUGUAUCUUGGUGCUUAUUUAUGUAUAAAUUCUCAUUCCCUAUUCAGCCCGGAUUUUCAAGACAAGGAAUUAGAACUUGCUUCGGGGGGAAAAGAGAAAAUGAAUUUGUACUCUUUUGCUUCGUUGGCAUGAUUUAUUUUGUACUUAUUGUUGACAUUGUAGCUCCAUCACUCACUAUGAAGCAUAGCAAGCUACUACAGUGGCCAAUAUUAGUGUUUAGUUUACAUUCUUUGCAGAUCUAAAGUACACAUAGAUGAAGAUUGACUUCCUUUUGAUGUCUACAAUAACAUUCAUUCUUUGCAGAUCUGAAGUACCCAUAAUAUCUCAACAUGAAAAUUUGUACAUUUCCACUCAUAGCGUCCCC